AGCAGCCGCGGUAAUUCCAGCUCCAAUAGCGUAUAUUAAAGUUGUUGCAGUUAAAAAGCUCGUAGUUGAAUUUCGGGAUCAAUAUGUCGGUCGUGCCUUCGGUACGUACUGGUAUCAUUGGUCUCUCCUUUCUGACGAACCAUGAUGUCAUUAAUUUGGUGUUAUGGGGAGUUAGGACUGUUACUUUGAAAAAAUUAGAGUGUUUAAAGCAGGCUUUAGCUUGAAUACAUUAGCAUGGAAUAAUGAAAUAGGACGUUCGAACCUAUUUUGUUGGUUUCUAGGAUCAACGUAAUGAUUAAUAGGGAUAGUUGGGGGCAUUAGUAUUCAAUUGUCAGAGGUGAAAUUCUUGGAUUUAUUGAAGACUAACUACUGCGAAAGCAUUUGCCAAGGAUGUUUUCAUUAAUCAAGAACGAAAGUUAGGGGAUCGAAGACGAUCAGAUACCGUCGUAGUCUUAACCAUAAACUAUGCCGACUAGGGAUCGGAUGAUGUUAAUUUUUAAUGACUCAUUCGCGCCUUACG
rnacentral:rRNA from 1 species